AUGCAUUCCUGCUCUGCACCACAUGAGUCUCUGCUCCAGGCUCUUGUCCUUGGGGUGGGCAGAGGCUUUGCUGAAUCCAUGGACUCCUGGUUGUCCACAGCAUCAGGCUCAAGACAGACCCAGCUGGGUCCUGGCACCAGAGCAACCGUGACAGGUUGACAAGAUCCUGACAACCUUGCUCCAUUUGAGCCAUCUCCAGCUGCUGAUUCGUCAUUUGCCUUCUCAAAACCAUCUCCUGAUAUGGAAACAGCUCAUCACUGCCUGUAACCAGCAGGAACACCAGAUCCUGCAGCAUCUGUUUUGGACAUCAAGAUGGGAGACCCCAAAAUCCUCAGCACAAGAGAAAGAGGUACAGAGAGAGAAUGGAGCAAGGCAGGUCCCAGAGCCCUGGUUGUGCUGCCUGGUGUGUCCCAGCAGUGUCAGCUGCCUUGGAGCAGCACCUCAGCUACUUCUCCUGCUCUCUGAAGACUUGUGUGAAAUGACCAAGAUACAAAGGGCCAGGGCUGCUCCUGGAAGAGGAAAAGCCUAUUGGUGUUGCCUGAAUGAAGGGGCUGAGUGUCUGCAUUCACAUCCUGGGAAAGCAGUUGAGAUUGAUCCUGGUUUGGUCACCCACUGAUGAGCUAAUUUUAACACCAACCAUGUGAGUAUAAAAAGGAUUAACCCUAAGUUUUAGAGCUUUGAUGACAUAAAAAAACAUGGUCA
rnacentral:lncRNA from 1 species